CAGUCGCCGCGGGAAUACAGAGGGUGCGAGCGUUAAUCGGAUUUACUGGGCGUAAAGCGUGCGUAGGCGGCUUUUUAAGUCGGAUGUGAAAUCCCUGAGCUUAACUUAGGAAUUGCAUUCGAUACUGGGAAGCUAGAGUAUGGGAGAGGAUGGUAGAAUUCCAGGUGUAGCGGUGAAAUGCGUAGAGAUCUGGAGGAAUACCGAUGGCGAAGGCAGCCAUCUGGCCUAAUACUGACGCUGAUGUACGAAAGCAUGGGGAGCAAACAGGAUUAGAUACCCGCGUAGUCCCUGUCUCUUAUAC
rnacentral:rRNA from 1 species